GAGUUUGAACCUGGCUCAGGACGAACGCUGGCGGCGUGCCUAAUACAUGCAAGUCGAGCGAGCUUGCCUAGAUGAUUUUAGUGCUUGCACUAAAUGAAACUAGAUACAAGCGAGCGGCGGACGGGUGAGUAACACGUGGGUAACCUGCCCAAGAGACUGGGAUAACACCUGGAAACAGAUGCUAAUACCGGAUAACAACACUAGACGCAUGUCUAGAGUUUGAAAGAUGGUUCUGCUAUCACUCUUGGAUGGACCUGCGGUGCAUUAGCUAGUUGGUAAGGUAACGGCUUACCAAGGCAAUGAUGCAUAGCCGAGUUGAGAGACUGAUCGGCCACAUUGGGACUGAGACACGGCCCAAACUCCUACGGGAGGCAGCAGUAGGGAAUCUUCCACAAUGGACGAAAGUCUGAUGGAGCAACGCCGCGUGAGUGAAGAAGGGUUUCGGCUCGUAAAGCUCUGUUGGUAGUGAAGAAAGAUAGAGGUAGUAAC
rnacentral:rRNA from 1 species